GCCAGAGUGGUGCAGUGGUUUGAGUUUUGGACUGUUACUCUGAAGACCAGGGUGUGAAUCCCAGCUCAGUCA